rnacentral:misc_RNA from 1 species
GGCAUGUAAUGCAACAUAUCAAAAGUAUUGGGCGUUAGUAAUUGGUUGUCCCAGAGAAAGAGAAGGCUUAAUCUCUGCUCCACUGUCAAAGGUUCUCUCUCUCCUGCUCUUGCUCUCUCUGGGAUCAGUGUUCACGAUUCUCAGUCUUUUCCUGAUAAGUUGAUAAAUUAAAAUACAAUCAUGUACCAGAGGUGCAAGGUUGGCA